rnacentral:rRNA from 1 species
GACGAACGCUGGCGGCGUGCCUAACACGUGCAAGUCGAGCGAGGAGAUUCCUUCGGGAUGAUCCUAGCGGCGGACGGGUGAGUAACACGUGGGCAACCUGCCUCAUAGAGAGGAAUAGCCUCCCGAAAGGGAGAUUAAUACCUCAUAACAUUGCAGUUUCGCAUGGAACAGCAAUUAAAGGAGUAAUCCGCUAUGAGAUGGGCCCGCGGCGCAUUAGCUAGUUGGUGAGGUAACGGCUCACCAAGGCGACGAUGCGUAGCCGACCUGAGAGGGUGAUCGGCCACAUUGGGACUGAGACACGGCCCAGACUCCUACGGGAGGCAGCAGUGGGGAAUAUUGCACAAUGGGGGAAACCCUGAUGCAGCAACGCCGCGUGAGUGAUGACGGCCUUCGGGUUGUAAAGCUCUGUCUUCAGGGACGAUAAUGACGGUACCUGAGGAGGAAGCCACGGCUAACUACGUGCCAGCCGCCGCCGUAAUAC